rnacentral:rRNA from 1 species
GAUGAACGCUGGCGGCGAGCCUAAUACAUGCAAGUCGAGCGAACGGACGAGAAGCUUGCUUCUCUGAUGUUAGCGGCGGACGGGUGAGUAACACGUGGAUAACCUACCUAUAAGACUGGGAUAACUUCGGGAAACCGGAGCUAAUACCGGAUGAUAUUUUGAACCGCAUGGUUCAAAAGUGAAAGACGGUCUUGCUGUCACUUAUAGAUGGAUCCGCGCUGCAUUAGCUAGUUGGUAAGGUAACGGCUUACCAAGGCAACGAUGCAUAGCCGACCUGAGAGGGUGAUCGGCCACACUGGAACUGAGACACGGUCCAGACUCCUACGGGAGGCAGCAGUAGGGAAUCUUCCGCAAUGGGCGAAAGCCUGACGGAGCAACGCCGCGUGAGUGAUGAAGGUCUUCGGAUCGUAAAACUCUGUUAUUAGGGAAGAACAUAUGUGUAAGUAACUGUGCACAUCUUGACGGUACCUAAUCAGAAAGCCACGGCUAACUACGUG